GUACGUAACUAUCGUAUGAAUUUGGUGCCUCAAACAUUUUCAACACCAUUCAUUGGUGUCAACUGUAAAAAUUUUGACACCAAAGUCAUGUUGUUUUGUUUUUUAAUUUAGGAUUCAGCUUUGCUCUCCUAUUUUUCAACCAGUCGUUCUCUCUCUGUCCGUCCUCCCUGCGCUCAACCCCUCUCCUCCUCCCUAACCCUAGCUCCCUUACCCUUUCGAUUGUAAAGAUUUCUCGGGUCCUCGCUUGUACGCGGUGUCGUAUGGCUUGGGGAUCUACAUUCUCAACGUCCUCAUCGGAUUUCUCUCUGCUCAGGUCGACCCGGAGAUCCGCGACCUCUCCUCAUUGACGUCUCAGACGUGGACGGUUCAGUCGUCAGCUCAUUUGCCAGGGACAACAUGUUUUCAAUUUUACGAUUUGAUUUUUUAGAUUUAUUUUCCCUUUCAUGUGUGAUCUGGGCUGAGGUGUGAUUCUUGAGAGCUUUUACUCUUUCCUACUUUUAGGCUGAAAAGCAGCUGAACUCUGGUUGGUUGAAUAAUGUCUUUUAAUAAGUUUCUAUCACUAAAGAACACUACUGUUUUUUGACUUGUUGAACUACUUAUUUUUAUACUUGCUUUAUUUAUGAUGCCACCUUCUCCAUCAUAUUCUGAAGGAAGCAGUUUCUGUUUUCGUCCGAGGCUGCGGAAGAAUUGACUGAGGUAGAGGUUGCAGAAAAACUUUCGAAUUUCGUUCGGCGCAGUCUGGUUUCCUAGAUACAAGCUUUGACACCAUAAGCGUAAUACAUGUAUUCCGUUUGCUUUUGCUGCUGCCGGUAUGCAGCCAGAGACGGAUCUACAGAGGGACCUGGGAGGUCCCAGGACCCCUCGUACUUGAACACGAGGUCUGUACUGCAGGCUGCAGCUUGAAGGUUGCAGCUUGCUACGAAGAAGAAGACAGCGGGGCCGCGGCGGAGAAGAAUGAAAACAAACAGGCCUUUUAAAAAAUUGGUCCAAAACGCAGUGUUUUGGCCAAUUUGUUUAAUUUGUUUAUUUUUUUUAUUUUUUAUUUUUUCAAGCCUGAGAUAAAUUGUGCCGUUUGUCCAUGAUUCCAUACUCUCUUUUUUAAGGCCUAGCCCCACACGGGCCAUCUUUCCCAAGAGUCCUUUCCCUAUUCCUCUGUUUUGCCCCCCUAAUCCCCCCCCAUCUUUCUUAUAUUCACCCAAUUCCAAAACCCUAAAUUUCUAAUCCCACCCAAUCCCAUAUUAUAAUUACAUUACUCUAAUAUCAUACCUCCACUUGUUUCAAUUCUCCAAGCCACCACUAUUUGGUUCAAAAUUCAAGUAAACUUUUUGGUAUUCUAAUCUAAUCUCAAUUAAAUUAUAUUAGAUAUUGGUGGAGAUUUUUAGUCUGUUAUUGAUAUGAUUGUUGAUAUGUUUUAUGUUUGUAUACUCAUUUUAUCAUUGAAAUUUAGAUGGAAUUUUUGUUUAUUGGUUGAUUGGUAUAUGUUUUGUGUUUUUGGUUAAAUGUGUAGUUUAGAAAUAAGAAAUAUGGAAAGAUUUUUCAAUCCAAAGCCAAUAGCACCA